AAAUCCACGGCUCGAGCGACACGAGCGAACGGCAGCGCCGUCGACCAAGAUCCAGCGCCCCCCACCGCCUCCGAGCUCCUCCGCCAGCGACAAGAAGCGACGCUCCCGACCCCCUCCCUCCGGUGCUGAGGAUCCAAGCUCCGCCCCUCCAGCGACGGCGACGGACCGCGGCCGUCACCGUUCUCCUUCCCCGGAUCUCCCCUCCGCCUCCAAGUUCCGAUCCCCUCCGGCGACGGCGGCGGCAAUGGUUCCGCGGACGUUACUAUCUCAUCUGAUCAAGGGCUUUUCAACUCACUAUAUGAGUUUGAUCUUGUUAUCUUUAAUCGGUCGUUGAGAAGAAAGCAAGAAAGAUAUGGGAAAGCUUAAAUUUAUUGGUUGGUAUGAAUUGAAUAGCUAGCCAAGAAGAGAUGUGAUUGGUGAUGUUUAUGUUCUGAGUUCUGCUGCCGUGUACAUGAUAAAUCUUUUGCUGCUCGUUCUUACUAGAUGAACCAAAGAGUAAAGGUAGAGGUGAGAUGAUGUGUUUCCUUCCUAAGGUGUAUAGCUGUACCUCCAAGAUAGGCAAGAGCAAUUUAAUAGUUCAUUUUAGUUUUCUACCUAUAGUUCCAGGAAGGUGGAGCUGUAGCUGGAAGGUAUAGGAGACAUAUGUAGCUUACUUUUGUCUUGUUUGUUCACUUCCAGAUAGAUGGAUAUACGGCUGUUUAUAGCAAAGCAUGAGUAGAAAUGGUUGCAAAUGUGCAAAUAAAGGUGUAUAGUAGAAUCA